UACGGGGGGAGCAAACGUUGUUCGGAAUCACUGGGCGUAAAGAGCUCGUAGGCGGUUUGUUGCGUCGGCUGUGAAAUCCCGAGGCUCAACCUCGGGUCUGCAGUCGAUACGAGCAAACUAGAGUGUUGCAGGGGAGACUGGAAUUCCUGGUGUAGCGGUGAAACGCGCAGAUAUCAGGAGGAACACCGGUGGCGAAGGCGGGUCUCUGGGCAACAACUGACGCUGAGGAGCGAAAGCGUGGGGAGCGAACAGG
rnacentral:rRNA from 1 species